rnacentral:lncRNA from 1 species
CUCCCAUUCUACAUACAAAAGUAUAUAGAAACUAUAUAUAUUUGGAAUCAGUGUGAAAGAAGCUAUCAUAUGAGACCGGAAGUGACAUUCAUUUCACCGGAAGUAGCAUAUUAUCUCCCUUAUAUCACUCAAAAAUAUAAUUAAACCAUUAUUUAUCGCAUCAGUAUGAAGAAACUAUCUUUUUAUCAAAAUUUCUUUGAUGUGGAAAGACUUUCAAUUGUUCUCUGAACAAUUGGUUUUUAAUUAAGUCUUUCCACUUUUCUGUGGAAAGACUUAUUGUUUUCGUUCUGAUU